CAGUCGCCGCGGGAACACGUAGGGUGCAAGCGUUAAUCGGAAUUACUGGGCGUAAAGCGUGCGCAGGCGGUUAUAUAAGACAGAUGUGAAAUCCCCGGGCUCAACCUGAGAACUGCAUUUGUGACUGUAUAGCUAGAGUACGGCAGAGGGGGAUGGAAUUCCGCGUGUAGCAGUGAAAUGCGUAGAUAUGCGGAGGAACACCGAUGGCGAAGGCAAUCCCCUGGGCCUGUACUGACGCUCAUGCACGAAAGCGUGGGGAGCAAACAGGAUUAGAUACCCCCGUAGUCCCUGUCUCUUAUAC
rnacentral:rRNA from 1 species